rnacentral:lncRNA from 1 species
GUCUUAAACCAUCACAUUUUGAGUUAACUUAGGAAGUGACAAGGUGAAUUUGAGUACCAAUCUGUCUUUAACUCAUUUCUGAGUUUGAACACGUUUAAAAUCACUAAUUAAAGUUGCUGAAGUGAUUUAUUUCAAGUUUGGAGCAUUGUGAUUGUGUCUAUUACAGAGGGAUUGGAACUAAACAACCCAAGAGAGGAACCUAGAAGCAGAAAUUAAAAAACAUGUUCAUACAAAUAAACAAACAGAGUUCAUGCAAAAAAAUGAACCUAAGGCAGCAAUAACAAGACUUUGAAACAAUACAAUUAAAUAUCAUUAACUACAUACCUUUUUCAGAUGCUCAACUUCUCCUAAAUUGCAACCCCUCCAAAAUUUGGCACCAACUUCUAAUAAUUGAACACUGGGUCUUCCUCCAAAAACCUACAUUUGCAACAUAUAAUAAUUGAGGCUAAAGAGAAAAAAGGGGCAUGUGUAAAGUUCAAAUUAUUGGUCCCUCGGAAGCAAAUUGCAUAUAUUGAAUUGACUUAAGCACAAGACUUAUUCAAAUUCACUCGUCUAUAUGAACCCAAACAUAGGGAAAAGCUUAUUAAUUAGAUCAACACCGAAUUGCUGAAAAAUAAAAAUAAAAAAAAAAUAUCCCUUCUACACAUCCACUUGCUAUCAUUUUGACUUUAUAGUAAGUCAACCCUAUUNAAAAUACUAUUGCCAGUUUGAAGUUUGAAGCAAGAAGAGAGAACAUAUACAUUCAAAACCCUACCCACUGGUUUGGUUACCAUUUCAUCUACCUAUAUAUAGCCAAACCUUUCGGUUGACAUUUCUUCAACACACCAAAAACAUUUUUNACUUUCGUUUCAGUUUCAAGUCUCACUUUCUUCAUUACUAUUGUUAGUUGGUUGAUGGAUGAAUUUGAGUGCUUGAGAGAUUGGGAUUUANAGGCUAUUGUGAGAGGAAGCAGUGGUGAAGCCACUGCCAUGGACGAUCCCAAUCCUGAUUUUUCUUAUUUCUUCUCUGACCAAGACGAGCUGAUUCAUAGCUUUCCAGAAUUCACAGAAACUACCAGGGUCCUUGAUGAUCUCGAAGAUCUCUACAAACCUUUCUACCCAGUUUUGCACCUUCUUUCACCUCACACCAUCAUUANAACUUCCCUCUCUAUCCCCAUAGAACCCCAACAGGUCAAAGAACUCAAAGCAUCAGAAGAGAAAGUAGCCCUACAUUGCUGAACACAACCAUCCAAAACCUAAUAACAUACCAUUCAUUCCAAUUCNACAAAAUAAUNCUUCAAACAUAACUAACAGCUCAAAGAACUCUAAUAACGUUCAAAACUACACAACAUAUCAUAAAAUUAAAUUCAUCUUCCCUACUUCACAUAUUUUAAACANCAUCAAAGAAAAAUAUAUAACAUUACAUACAUUUAACNACGACAUAUGAAANUCUUCAUCAACCCUUCAUCAGCAAAGUCUUCAUCAUUCAAAAGAUAGAGAACUCACCUCUACGGCAGCGACAAAUCCUACAUGUAUCAGCCCUCCUCGNGCAGCAAAAGCCCCUUCGUUAGAUAGCCNGUAGAUUGGCCUNGUCGCGAUAACAGAAGCACUGGUCAGGCAGGCACACCACCCUCGUCACACCGCGACAGAGACCUCAUCAAGAAACCCCGUCGAAUAGCCCCCUCGCAACAACCUAAUCCUUNGCCUCAACCACCACCCUCCUCACCGNCACUCUCCUNCCACAAUAGAAACCUAACACCCANCUAUCAAACACCAAUUUCACAAAAAUGCAGAAGGGUGGAACGAACAACAGUGGUUAAAUUUGGGGGUUCUGCAUUUCAGAGCAAACGCUAGGGAAGAACACUCAGGAAUUUCGCGAAAAUAACAUCAUGGGAGAGGGAAAUCCCAAACUUUUAUUUCAUUAAGUCUUUGCAACAUACCGACGGUCAUAUUCCUUCGCUACAGUCACUGUGCCAAUACAGACGGCCAAAGCCCCUCGGCAAUGUACACCUAACAUGGCCUUCGGAAAAGCCUUCGGUAAUUAAGAUUUACCGAAGGCCUGCAGGCCGUUCAUAAUCAUCCUUCGGUAAAUUAAAGUUUUCUUGUAG